AACCCGCUGCUAGUCACCAUCCCCGGAUGCAGACACGGUGGAUCGACCCACUGCUGACCUUGCCAACGCGACUAACUUCACCGGCCUAACCAAAGGGCAAGCAAACGAGCUCGCACCUGAGAUCGCAACCGGCGCUCACGCGAUGCAGCUCUCACGACGGGUACUGGAGAAAGAUCAGGCAAAAUUUCAUGAGAUAUGAAGGUCAUUCUCGGAAAAGGUUGCACCAGGAUUAUACAGUUAGCCGUUAGUGAGUGAACUUUCUCAUGAUUUAUAAUGCUUAUGUUAAGUGGUGCAACGUCCGAACCUGAAUAAACGAAAUACCCGUCAGUUUAGCUAAAGAUGCACAUAUACAGGAAGAUCAUCACCUUUUCCCAGAUUGUGCCGUAAUUUGUAUCAUUCAAUAUGCAUGUGAGAUAUUUCAAUUGUUGAGGCCAAUGCAAAAUGACUUCUCUCAUGCAUUGUGCAUCUAUGAUCAAUCUGUGCAUAGUUAUCUCGUGUCCCCACAUUCGUGUUGAAACAUCAAUUGGAUGAAAGCAAAGAAGAAGCACAAGAGGGUGAUACGCGUGUGGCACAUUAAAGUUAUGAUGAGUAAUUGCUCCUAACUUCUAUCAAUAGCGAAUAUGGAAAAGGUUUUUUGACUGUACUUGCAGUUUAGAGUUUACCAUGCUCUACGCACCUCAUUUUGUUCAUACUCAUGCUUAUGUGGGUAUUACCAUUCAUUGAUGCAUAGACGAAACCUUCUAUAUAAACCCAUGAGUGAUUCAUUUGCUACUUGCUUGCAUGUUGAGAUAGGUAGCUGGUACCAAUUAAUUUUCUGCUUAGUUGUUAUAUUCCAUAUUUUUAUUUGUUUGUACCUACAUUCCCUAAGUUGAUGUAAGAAGUUGGAGGAAACCAAAAUGUAAGCCAGCGGGAUUCACCAACUAGCACAUAACCAACUCAGUGACAUUCUCCACUGGGCGUCUCUGGCCUAGGGAGAUCCUCAAAACAAAUAGAGGGAGAUCCUGAACCCAACCAACAACAUUACUCCGGGUCUCUAUGCUCUCUUGAAGAAGGAUCCUAAGAUAGUAGCACUAGGAGAGGUAUAGUGAUGGAAGGCUGACCGGUAGCAUUAACUACUGGUUAAUCAAGAACUCCUGGGGCAGCUGGUGGAGGGACGGGGGUUACAUUCGCCUCAAGCGUGGAUAUGCAAAAGAUGGAGGGUUAUGCGGCAUUCUAAUGGAUCCGCCGUACCCGGUGUAUCAUGUAAUGCUUGAGUAUUAGUAGUCCCUAGUGGAUCCUAUCAACUAUAUAUGGGGGUUAAAUCUCCUAGCUAAUUUGUUGUCAUGGGAGAUAUAAUUUCAUUUUCUUUCAUAUUAUAUACUAUUUAUUAUUAUUCCGCCGCAUAUAUAGUAGAGCAUGCAUUUGUAAAGCAUACGUGUGCGCAAACCAGAAGAAUCGGCAAUUUAACAUGGAAACAAAACUUAAAACAUUGAGAAUGACAGAACUUCAUAGAUGCCACACAUGAUAUAUAUGAUGUGCACCACUAGGUCAGCUUGCCACUAAGUGUCCUAUAUUAAGUUUAGAAACCACAGUAGUUAAGCUAGAUCAAGUAUUUUGGUUCUUAGCGCAUUCAAACAGUAGAACAAAUUAUCCAGACACAAGUGUCCAAUGUACCAUCUAUCAACCAAGUCAUGCCACUCAAUAUCAAAACAAUAUUAUAGUAGAUUUAAUUGUCACGGGAAGUUCAUCCUAAUAGAACAUAUAUGAGUUGCAGGAGAUAGCUAGGUGACCAACACCAUCAGACGUCAAUUGGGAUCAUCGGCUAAGAGGUGUGGCACAAAAACAAAUAAAACAAUUGUGGGAACAGAAGAACUUUCCUGGAGAUUGAGCCCGAGACAGGAAUCAUAGAGGAAUUAAACUACAGAGUCGAAGCCAGAGUUUCAGCCACGUUACUGCCAUCUUACCAGUGCCAAGUUCGACACUGGUUAGAGUGAGCACCCAAUGCGCAAGAUAGAGGAUGAAACUGUGUAUAUUCAUUCAUCCGCACUGAGUGCAUUAUAUACUUACAUGGGAUAAGGUUGGUUACAACAGAAACAAGAGAGAGGGAGAGGAUCACGACGUGGAAGCCAUCGUGGGCGCGCAUGCAGUCGUACGUGCUAUCUCUCCCUAGCGAGUCGGAGGGGGCUGCCUUGGCCCUGACGCUGGGUCAGUGUGCUGUGGUAAAACGGUCUUCCAACCACCCCCCCCCCCCGCCCCUGCAGUCAAAACGCGGUGCUCACCGACGUUGAGACUGGUCCGGAAGUCGUUGAACACAGAAGUAGGCAAUCCUUUGGUGAAGAUGUCCGCGAAUCGGGAUGUCGUCGGGACGUGGAGGACGCGCACCUCGCCCAAGGAGACGCGCUCACGGACGAAGUGAAGGUCAAUCUCGAUGUGCUUGGUGCGUUGGUGCUGGACGGGGUUGUUGGACAUGUACAUGGCGCUGACGUUGUCGCAGUAGACGACGGUGGCGCACGGUGGUGGGCAACGAAGUUCGCCGAGGAGUUGGCGGAGCCAACUCGACUCAGCGACGGCAUUGGACCGAGACACGGUGUUCUGGCGCUUCGAAGACCAGCUGACGAGGUUGGCGCCAAGAAAAACGGCGAAGCCCGAGGUGGACUUGCGCGUGUCGGGGCAGCCGGCCCAGUCGGCAUCCGAGUACGUCGUGAGGUCGCCGGAGGUGGAGCGAUGAAAGUGGAGGCCCAGGUGAGCGGUGCCACGAAUGUAGCGGAGGACGCGCUUCACCAGCUGGUAGUGACUGUCGCGAGGGUCAUGCAUGAAGAGGCAGCAUUGUUGUACGGCAUAGGAGAUGUCGGGUCUGGUGAGGGUGAGGUACUGGAGGGCCCCGGCCAAGCUCCGGUAGAGUGAUGGGUCGUGAAAGGCAGGACCAUCGGUGGCGGAGAGCUUGGCGGUGGUGUCGAUGGGUGUAGACACAGGUUUGCAGUUAAGCAUGCCUGCACGGUCAAGGAUCUCGAGUGCAUACUGCUCUUGAGAGAGGUGGAGAGGAGAUGGCGACGUGGGAGGUGGCGCCGGUGUCCAUGAACCAGUCGGAGCUGGUCGACGGGGGCUGCAUCUGGAGGUUAGCGAAGUGCGUCAUCAGCGCCUGAUGUUCAUCCCAUGUCGGUGCAGUGGGUGGCUGACCCGCCGCCACGGGGUAGGCCUGGUGUGGAGCGGGAGGGCGAGGCCCUAGUACACCAGCCGAGUUGGCUGGCACCCACGGGGAGCGCCACUGCUGUGGCGUGGGAGCAGGGGAACCCCACGGGGCGAAGUAGCCCAGCCACGGCUGCUGGGCGCCGGUGCCACGCCCACCGGCGGAGCCAGAGGCGGCGCCGGGAGAGUCCUGGCCACGACCACGGCCACAGCCGCGCCCGCCACGCUGGCAAUCCCCAUGAAGGGGCGCCUUGCCCUUGUCCUGCGGGGAUGACGGCGGAGCAUCGGUGGAGGACGAGCCGCCCGAGGAGGAACCGCCCACGGGGCCAAUCGUGAGGGGGCAGGCGCCAGCGGCGCGUUAGCGCUCGAGGACGCCGAUCUCUUCCAGCAGGAGACGGGAGCGAGCCUGCACGAAGGACGGAAACGGCUGCUGCAUGGGAAGAAGAGUGGCCAUGACAUGAAACCGCCGGCUGAGACCGCGGACGAGCUGGAGGGUGAGGGAGCGGUGGGAGACGGGCUCGUCCACGUCAGCCAUGGCGUUGGCCAGUUGCUGCAGACGACGGCAGUACUGGGCCACCAACAUGUCCCCCUGCACGGUUGCGCGGAACUCGGCGCCGAUGUGUAUGGCACGACCGGCGGCGUUGUCGCAAAAGAAGACCUCCAGCUGGCUCCAGAGGUGGUACGUCGUGCUCUCCGGCAAUUGGAUGAUGUCGUAGAGCUCGUCGGAGAUGGUGCCGUAGAUCCAGAGAGCGAUCGUGAUGUCGUCGUUGCGCCAGCCUGGGUCUUCGUGUAGGGGAUCGGCCUCCUCGAGGACGUGCUCCUCGACGUGGAACUUGCAGAGGACGAACCAGAAGAGGUGGCGCCACUUGGAGUAAUUGUUGUCGUCCAGGCUGAGCUUGAACGGGAUGUAGGAGGAGAUAUUGGUGUGGUGCAUGGCGGGAUCAGGGGCGGGCUGGGCUUGUGGGGGUGGAGGGGCGAGGACGAGAGCGUCGCCGGGGAUGCAGGCAAUGCGGAGCGGUGGUACGGCGGGAGCAGCACCGCGAUGGAGAACGCGGGCGUUGGGAGAGGCGGGCAGCGGCACGAAGGGGUCGGCGGCCGGUGCGGGCUGGGGACCGGGGCGACGGGCGGCAGGAUGGAGGGAGCGUCAGCGUCACCGGAGGAGCGAGUGCGGCGGAGCGGACGUCAGAAGCUCAUGGCGGAAGCGGAGAAGGGAGGAACGAGCGACGUCAGCCUCUGAUACCAAGAUAGAGGAUGAAACUGUGUAUAUUCAUUCAUCCGCACUAAGUGCAUUAUAUACGUACAUGGGAUAAGGUUGGUUACAACAGAAACGAGAGAGAGGGAGAGGAUCACGACGUGGAAGCCGUCACGGGCGCGCAUGCAGUUGUACGUGCUAUGUCUCCCGAGCGAGUCGGAGGGGGCUGCCUUGGCCCUGACGCUGGGUCAGUGUGCUAUGGUAAAACGGUCUUCCAACAGCGCAGGGGCGAUACGGGGGCAGUCAGCCCUACAGCCGCACGAGCGUUGCGGGUUGCGAGCAUAGUUGUUGAUACUAUUCUAACUUAUCUAUAUUUUUUUAUUAUUCCAUGCUAUUAUAUUAUAAUUUUAGGAUACUUUUUGAGUAUUAAUUUAUCAAUUUAUAUUAUUUUUAAGCAUUAAACUAUUGACCCAGUGUUGAGUGUCAGUUGCUAUUUUCUACGUGUUUUUGCCUUUUCAUGUUUAUAGUACCAAAUGAAGACAAAUUGCCCUGAAACUUUUUUAUGACUUUUUCUGGACCAAAAGAACACCUGAAAGCUUCAUGACGAGACCGGAGGCCACACGAGGGAGGCACAAGCCAAUAGGGGCACCGAAGAGGGUCGGCGCGCCCUGAUGGCUUGUCCCUCCCGGUUGUCCAUCCUACCCCUGUUCUCUGGCCUAUAAAUUCACAUAUAUUUCAAAAACCCUGGAGGACAUACCAAAACACUUUUUCUGCCGCCGCAAGUCUCUGUUCCGCUGCGAAUCCAUCUGGAGCUCUGUUUCAAAGUCCGUCGGAGCGGGGAUCGAUCACAUAGGGCCUCUUCAUCAACCUUGUUGCCCUAAUGGGGAUAUGUGAGUAGUUCACCACAGACCUACGAGUCCGUAGUUACUACCUAGAUGGCUAUCUCUCUCUCUCUUGAUCUUCAAUAAAAUUAUCAUCACAUCUUUGCUUUGAUCUAUCCGAUGUAAUUCUUCUGUGCGGUGCGUUCAUUGGGAUUCUAUGAAUUGGAGUCUUCUAUGAAUUUUAUUUAUGAUUCUUAUUUGCAUGAUCAUUAUAGCUUGGUAAAUAUCUUCCAUCUAUUGAUUUUCUUUGUCAAGUCAAUUGAUCUUUCUUCAGCGAGAGGGGUGCGUUGUAUUGGGUUCAAUCUGGAGGUGCUCUAUAUCCCAGUGACAGAAAGGUACAAAACACGUCUUUGUAUUUCUGCCACUACAUCAUGUCAUUGUUAUCAAAGCAUUACUCUGUUUUACUCAACACUCUAGAUGCAUGGUGGAUAGCGGUUGAUUGAUUGAGUAAUAGUAAUAGAUGACGGCAGGAGUCUGCCUAUUUGCUUAUGGACGUGAUGCCUAUAUAUAAAUGAUCAUUGCCAUGAAUUUCACAUAACUAUGCGCUUUUCUACCAAUUGCCCAACAACAAUUUAUUUAUCACCGUAUGCCUAUUACAUGAGAGAUGCCACUAGGAAAAAGUAUGGCCCCCUGGUCUAUCCAGCUAUAAGUUUACAAUGCUUUCAAUACCUUGCUGCCAUUUAUUAUCUUUUAUUUUAUUUUGCAAUUUACAAUUCACAACUAUUAUCUACACAUUUCACUUUCUUGCAAAUAACCAGUCCAAGGGGAUAGAGAACCCUCUUGCCCGUGUUGGGUGCAAGUGCUUUGCUCAUUUGUGUGUAGUUGCUGAAGACAGAAGCUGACUGAUAUUCCUAUUGGUUCGAUAAACCUUGGUGCCUAACUGAGGGACAUACUUACCCAUAUUGUGUUGUAAUUAUCUGUUCCUCUUCACGGAAAACCCAACGCAGAUCAUAAGUAUCAGUUGCAAGCCGAAUUCGACCAACGUUUGAGAAGACCGAAGGCGGACGCGUGGGGAAGAUAGAUGGCGGAAGAAAUGGUGGACCACCAGGGACUGCGGGAGUGUCGAGGGGAAUUGGUGGAAUAAGAGGAGCACCUGCGAUCGGGGUGGCUCCGGAGUGGCAUGGUGCUGGCAGGGAAACUACGACACACACUGGGUCAGAGAUCCACAGUGAGUGGCGGCGGUCGGUGUUAGACACGACAUCGACGGCGGCGAUAUAGGCAGUGGAGUUGUGCGAGAGAAAGGGAAUCAAGAAUAUUGGUUCGUGCACGUGAGUGUGAGAGUGGUGGGGGUGUGGGACCCACCUAACCGACCUGGGGUGGUGAAAUUUUGGGUAAAUAACUAAUUUUCCCUACGAGAAUAGAGUAGUUGGGGGUUAAAAGAUCUGUCUUGAUAAGUUUGAGUCGACUGAGACUUCACGCAGUCUUAGUCGAUGCUAUAUCCGUGAGAACUUAUGAGGUUCGUGCAAAAUUUUCUUUUCAGUUUUUUAUUUUUUUCCCUUACAUGUUAUGUGACUUGAAUCAGGCUUGGGUUAAAUAUCAGUCGACUAAGACCUAGCCAUACCCUAAAAAGAUCAAAUAGAUUCCCCUACCGUCGGUUAUCGUCCCCUACCUCCCGCAUUGCCGGGUUGGACUUGGUCACGCUCUCUCCACACCACACCCCGUUCCACCCCAUCUCCGAGCUGUCGGCCUCACCCUCGCCGUGCGGCCAUGUCUGCUUAGCCAACCGAUCUCUGGAUAUGUGUGACCUUGGCCCCAAGAUCUCCCCAUCCCUCUCCUCCUCUCUUUCGCUUGUUGUAGCCCGCCGCUAUCUCGGAUCCUCUGCAUGUGGGCGUGUCGUCGCGCCGGUGGUCCGACGUCGUGAAGCCUUCGUCUAGUCGUAUGUCCUAGUAGGCCCCGAUCUCGUCCUCAAGAUAGCAUCUUCUUCGUCGACUAUGGUCUACGUGAGGUGGAUGGUCGCCGCAUGAUCGGACGCUCCUUCAUCCACAUGCGCUACUUUGUGCUGAAGACUAGAGGAAGUGCUGGCGCCGGGCACACAGGGACCAAGCCCGGGGUGUGGAAUUUAUAAUAGGCUAUUAAAUAUGUUUUUUCUGCAGGCCCAGGGUGCAGACCAGCAAAAUGAAGGAGACCCAGACCGUAAUGGGCUAUCUCACCUCAUGAAAUGGACGCAGGCACGAGGAGACCUCUCCAACUCCGGUGCGACUAUUUCUUGCCUUACGCGUGCCAACAACGACCUCUCACGUCGUGUAAACGGUGUUGGGUCGGCCCAUUGUAUUGCACGGAGAUUGAAAAAUUGAGAAGAAAUGGAGCGUCCCCAGGAGUCGAACAACCCUGGUCACGCGGGACAACAAGAGCAUUGCUAACCAUCAAGUUAUUGGUUAGUAGCAGGAUCACAGCAACUAGAGGUGGGAUAUUUCAAUUGUUGAGGCCAAUGCAAAAUGAUUUUUCUCAUGCAUUGUGCAUCAGUGAUCUAUCUGUGCAUACUUAUCUUGUGUCCCCACAUUCAUGUUGAAACAUGAAUUGGAUAAAAGCAAAGAAGAAGCACAAGAGGGUGAUACGCAUGUGGCACACUAAAGUUAUGAUGACUAAUUGCUCAUAACAUUUAUCAGUGGCGUAUGUGGAAAACGUUUUAUUAUGUACUUGCAUUUUAGAGUUUAUCAUGCUCUACGCACCUCGUUUUUUUCAUGCUCAUGCUUAUGUGUGUAUUACCAUUCAUUGAUGCACAUAUGAAACCUUCUAUAUAAACACACGAGCGAUUUCAUUUGCUACUUGGUUACAUGUUAAGAUAGGCAGCUAGUACCAACUAUUUUUUUGCUUAGUUCCGGGUGCUCGUUUCCUCCUUCUCAUUUUUUUUAUUCUGCUUAGUUAUUGUAUUCUAUGUUUUUCUUUGUUUGUACUAGUACAUUCCCAAUGACAUGUUGGAGGAAACCAAUGUAUUGCUGGUUGGAUACGGGACAGAGGAGAGAUACAGUGAUGGAAGACUGACCGAUAGCAUUAACUAAUGGCUAAUCAAGAAUUCCCACGGCAGCUUGUGGUGGGACGCAGUGGCGUAGCCAGGGGGUGGACUUGUGGUGGGACGCAGCGGCGUAGCCAGGGGGUGUACAGGGUGGUCCAUGGAUCAUCCUAAAAUUCCACCAUAGUCAAUAUAUAGGGUAAAAAAAGAUAUAUAUUUUUUACAAUACAUAAAAUUACAUGGAAUUUUUAUUUUUGAACCAUCCUGGCUCUCCGAGCUAGCUACGAUACAUUGGCCUCAAGCAGGGAUAUGAAAAAGAUGGAUGCAUGAUUGUGUGGCAUUCUAAUGGAUCCGCUGUACCCGGCGGAUCCUGUAAUGCUUGAGUAUUAAUAGUUCCUAGUGGAUCCUAUCAACUAUAUACAGGGUAAAUCUCCUAGCUAAUUUGUUGUCAUGUGAGAUAUAAUUUCAUUUUCUUUCAUAUUAUAUAUUAUUUGUUAUUAUUCUGCCCCGUAUAUAGUAGAGCAUGCAUUCGUAAAGCAUACGUUUGCGCAAACUAGAAGAACUAUCAAUUUAACAUGGAACGAAACUGAAAACAUUGAGAAUGAAAAAGCUUCAUAGAUGCCACACAAGAUAUAUAUGAUGUACACCAAUAAGUCAGCUUGCCACCAAGUGUGCUAUAUUACGUUUAGAAAUCCACAGUAGUUAAGCAAGACUAGUCGUCAACCCGUGCUUUCGCACGAGAUAGUGUAUUUAGUACAUUAACUUUCUAAGAAAAAAGUAAACAAACAUUAGAGUUAACCCAUUUUAAUUUUGCAUUGUUUGCUUGUACUUAAUAAUUCUAUUGUGGCGGCGUACAUAAAUUCUCAAAAAAGGCACGUAUUAGUUUUCUCCAUCUCAUUUUGCUUGUACACAUAUCAAUUGAUUUAGAGGUAUUGUUAAAAUAAGCCAUCCAAUUUAGGAACAUUUUGUUAAUUUAUGCCACUUCUUAUAUUUAAUAAAACAAUAAUGAAUAAGUUCAUAUAAAAUACCAAUUUAACUAUACAUUGCAAAAAACAUAUUGUACAUCAUCUGGAAAUCAGUUGAUUUAGGGGUAUCCAAAUGAAUAUAUACCCAUUCAGCAUGUAGACAACAUCAAUCACCCUGCAAGCGUAAGCGUGAACAGGUGCACAGGCUCAAAAUUCUUAAAUACAGAUGCAACAGAAAACUUUAUUACAGUGUGUAGAAAAAAUAUAACUUUGAAUAGAUACAACAUAGGAAUGCUUUUUUUUAACUCAAUGUUACUACAGGUUGAAAAUACUUACUCAUAUUAGGCUCUCUUCAUGGUUGUAUAAAUGAAAAGGGAAUCUGACAAACAUAACCAAUGCGUAAGUAGAGGCCAUGGUGAAAGUGUGUCAUACAAUAAUACACACUCAAUAAUUAGUCAUAUUUAUCACCUACUUAUUUUAAAAUUUCUACCACGCCGUAGGUUAAAACAGAAGGAAGAGAACAUGGUAAGAAACCAUAACAUAAUACCACAAAUCCAUUGAAAAGUAAGACCAUCAAGCAUCCUUGAGACCUCAAUGCCCUUCCCUACACAACCUUCAAUAGAGCAUGCAAUUCGUAAAGGUUUAUCCUAGUUGUCAAUAUUUUCUGAAGCACAACCGAAAAUUCCAAAACCGCUCAAGGAAGAGAGCGGUUUUGGCAAAGAGCUAGAACAAUACGUGCCUUCACACGUCUUGUUGUUGAUCUAAACUUAGUCCAAAUACCAUAAAAAAAAGUAAUACAACAGAUAGACACAGUACUGAACCUUCUUGGAUAAACGACUUCAACAUUUUAACCAUAUGUCUCCUUACCGUUCCAUGUAUCAUAAUGCCCCCAAACAAUUACAAUCCAGUUCAAAUAUGCUUAAGUUUUUCUAAUAACUACUAUUAACUUAUAUUAACAUGAUUAUGUUAAAAAAUCAUAUAUUUGUACUGACAAAACACCACUUCAUCAAGUAGUAUCAUGUGAAGGCUAAUAAGUUCGUCGCAAUUAAGCUUAAUGGUGUAGCCUAAUGACACUGAGCUAGAAUUUCCAUGAAUCUUUCUCAUGGCUAAUCGCACCGACCAUACCACAAACAAAUUUAAUAAUAUUUAAUAAGCGCUAAUUAUAUCAUGAAUCCGAUUUAUAACAGCUUAGACUAAAUGUGUACUUGUAUAGCUGGGGAAAAACAGAUUGGAACAAAUAGAUGAAUACGAUAGUAGUUUGUAAAAAGCUAUUGACAUGUAAAAAGCACAAACUUUUGAUGAUUAGUACUUAUUUACUCUCUGGUGAAGCUCACCUGAUGGGCAUAUUUGUGGCAUAAACCAAUCUCCAAGAGGUAUCCCAAUAUUAUACGUGAGAAUAUUGGGGACUGAUAUCCUCGAGAGCAUGACACCAUAAAAGAACAUGAUAUAUAAAAUCAGUGGUAGAAAAAAAACCCUGAAAGAACACCAGAUCCAUGCCUAAACUUACUUGCACCCAGUUAAGAGAAACAUGGAUUUGAUUUUCAUGUGAUGAAAGAGGAGGCAGUAGAGGUACGUGGAUUUAUUUUCCAUAUGGAGUGUGACAGAAAGAGAUCGAGAGGCAGUGGGUGCAUCCAUGUCGCACUUGAUGGGCAUAUUUGUGCUAUGACCCGAUCUCCAAGAUCAAUGUACGGGGGAGAAAGAGACAUGGUUUUCUUUCAUACGGGGAGAGAUAAUAGAAUCUAUACAUGUUGCCAGAUUGGCUUUUGUUUUUUUAACAUGGAGAGAAGAGAUGGUGGAGUAGCAGAUAAUCGUAUCUAUUUUGACUUCAUUUAUCUACUUAGGGUCCAGGACUACACGAAAAGGAUUGUUGGCCUUAUUACGAAUAAGGUUUUUUUUAAUCGUUGGCCUUACGUUUUUUUUCGAUUUGAGCAAAAUUUCAGCUAAAAAUUAUAUGGUUUAAUCUACACCGUAAUAACUUGGACCCACUCCAGAUUAACGGUUGUUAUUGUUUAAUUAACGUUGUAAUUUACUAGGAGUCUCUAAUUAGUAUAAGUAUAGAUCAGGUAUUCUGGUUCUUUGCACAUUCAAACAGUAGAACUAAUUACCCAGACAGAAGCCUUCAUUGUACAAGUUGUCAACCAAAUCAUGCCACUCGAUAUAAAAAAAAUAUAGUAGUUUAAUUGUCAUCGCAAGUUCAUCGUAUCAGAACAUGCACUAGUACAAAAACAGGCUUUCGUCCAGAGCAGGACGCCUUCGCCUUGGCGGCCGAGCCAAGGCAGUGGGCCACAGGUGCUAGGAGGUCCCAAUAUCAUGGAGGUGGCCUAGCCUGAACCAUCGAGGUCUAUGUGGUAAGUUCGGAUCCCUGGUUGGAAGUCGAAUACCAUCGCCUUGGUAGUCAAGUCAAGGCGAAUCGCAGAAUCACCAAUUAUGUGGGAUACCGAAGAUUACGGUAAGAUCGGAUCUGGAUGUUCGUUUAGAGUUGUUGUAUAAGCGCCGCCGCAGGUAAACCCAUUUUCUACUGUGUAACCCUUGCCGCCUCUCAGUAUAUAAAGAGGAAACGGAUGUCGAACGGAAAAACACAUCUUCCACCUCAUUCUACCUCCAUCCUUUAGAUGUGAGAUCGAGAUCUACCUCGAAAACACCUGAGCACACUACAGAUAAUCCCAUACACCCACAACAGGAGUACGGUUAUAAUGGACAUUGUACGUCCAGGGCCCAAACCUAUAUAAAUAAUCUUUGUCUCUAGUGUGCUACCGCCCCGAUCUCCAAGCGUUACCCCUCCGAAUAAAAUAUACAGUCAUCAAAUACCUUGACAGUUCGCGCGUCAGGUAGGGGUUCGCGUUCCGGAUAUAGGGUUGGGAUGGCCAACGUCAUCAUGGUAGACGAUAACACUCUGGAAGCGAAGAUAUUCAUUGAAGACCCGCGGGGUGAUUUCACUGUGGCUCCAUCAUCCCUUGAAUCUCCUCGACGGUCAGAAGAUGCUCCAAAAUCAGAUUCGUCGGUACGAGGCUCGUGGAACGAUUUGGAUCUGGGGAAAGUCAGGGUGGCUUCUCGUUGACACUCCUUCCCCCCCCCCCCCCACCACACACUCCAUAGAGCAUGGACCAGAUGAUGAACGAAGCACCGUUGGGAGCUUCCUCUUCAAUAACGAUACACCAAUUAAAGUGACCUGGACCUUGAAUGGCAGGGAACCAAUCCGCUGCCAGUCACCUUCCCUGGAUGCGGAUGCGGUGGAUCGACCCACUGCUGACCUUGCCAACGUAGUCGGCGAAACUAACUUCACCGGCCGAACCAAAGGGCAAGCAAAUGAGCUCGCAGCUCAGAUCGCAACCGGCCCUCAGGCGGUGCAGCUCUCACGACGGGUACUAGAGAAGGAUUAGGCAAAAUUUCAUGAGAUAUGAAGGUCUUUCUCGAAAAAGGUUGCACCAGGAUUAUACAACUAGCCGUUAGUGAGUGAACUUUCUCACGAUCUAUAAUGCUUAUGUUAAGUGGUGGAACGUCUGAACCUGAAUAAACGAAAUACGCGUCAAUGUAGCUAAAGAUGCACAUAUACGGGAAGAUCAUCACCUUUUCCCACAGUGUGUCGUAAUUUGUAUCAUUCAAUAUCCAUGUGAGAUAUUUCAAUUGUUGACGCCAAUGCAAAAUGACUUCUCUCAUGCAUUGUGCAUUUAUGAUCAAUCUGUGCAUAAUUAUCUCGUGUCCCCACAAUUGUGUUGAAACAUCAAUUGGAUGAAAGCAAAGAAUAAGCACAAGAGGGCGAUACGCAGGUGGCACAUUAAAGUUAUGAUGAGUAAUUGCUCAUAACUUCUAUCAAUAGCGUAUGUGGACACCUCAUUUUGUUCAUACUCAUGCUUAUGUGGGCAUUACCAUUCAUUGAUGCAUAGACGAAACCUUCUAUAUAAACCCAUGAGUGAUUCAUUUGCUACUUGAUUGCAUGUUAAGAUAGGUAGCUGGUACCAAUUAAUUUUCUGCUUAGUUGUUAUAUUCCAUAUUUUUAUUUGUUUGUACCUACAUUAUCUAUGUUGAUGUGAGAAGUUGGAGGAAACCAGAAUGUGAGCCAGCGGGAUUCUCCAGCUAGCACACAACCAACUCAGUGACGUUGUCCUCUGGGCCGUCUAUGGCCUAGGGAUAUCCUCAACACAAAUAGAGGAAGAACCUGAACCCAACCAACAACAUUACUCCGGGUCUCUAUGCUCUCUUGAAGAAGGAUCCUAAGAUAGUAGGCAUCAGUAGGAGAGGUGUAGUGAUGGAAGGCUGACCGGUAGCAUUAACUACCGGUUAAUCAAAAACUCCUCAGGCAGCUAGAGGAGGGACGGGGAUUACAUUCGCCUCAAGCGGGGAUAUGAAAAGAUGGAGGGUUAUGUGGCAUUCUAAUGGAUCCGUUGUACCCGGUGGAUCAUGUAAUGCUUGAGUAUUAUUAGUCUCUAUCUAGUGGAUCAUAUCAACAAUAUGUGUGGGUUAAAUAUCCUAGCUAAUUUGUUGUCAUGGGAGAUAUAAUUUCAUUUUCUUUCAUAUUACAUACUAUUUAUUAUUAUUCCGCCCCAUAUAUAGUAGAGCAUGCAUUUGUAAAGCAUACGUGUUCGCAAACCAGAAGAAUUGGCAAUUUAACAUGGAAACGAAACUGCAAACAUUGAGAAUGACAAAACUUCAUAGAUGCCACACAGGAUAUAUAUGAUGUGCACAAAUAGGUCAGCUUGCCACUAAGUGUCCUACAUUAAAUUUAGAAACCACAGUAGUUAAGCUCGAUCAAGUAUUUUGGUUGUUAGCACAUUCAAACAGUAGAACAAAUUAACCAGACACAAGUGUCCAAUGUGAGUUGCAGUAGAUAGCUAGGUGACCAACACCAUCAGACGUCAAUUGGUAUCAUUGGCUACGAGGUGUGGCACAGAAACAAAUAAAACAAUUGUGGGAACAGAAGAACUUACCUGGAGAUUGAGCCCGAGACAGGAAUCAUAGAAGAAGUAAACUAGGGAGUCGAAGCCAGGGUUUCAGCCACGUUACUGCCAUCCUACCGGCGCCAGGGUCGACAUUGGUUAGAGCAAACACCCAAUGCGCAGGGGCGAUACGUGGGCGGCCAGGCCUACCGCCGCACCAGCGUUGCAGGUUGCCAGCAUAGUAGCUGAUACUAUUCCAACGUAUCUAUAAUUUUUUACUAUUUUAUAUUUUUUGAGUAUUAAUUUGUAAAUUUAUAUUAUUUUUUAGCACUAACCUAUUGACCCAGUGCCCAGUGUCAGUUGUUAUUUUCUACGUGUUUUUGGCUUUUCAUGUUUAUAGUACAACCAAAUUGACACAAAACAUUUUUAUGACUUUUUCUAGACCAGAAGAAGACCUGGAAGCUUCAUGACGAGACCGGAGGCUACACGAUGGAGGCACAAGCCAACAGGGUGCACCGAGGAGGGUCAGCGUGUCCUGAUGGCUUGUCCCUCCCUCGUGUCCCUCCUACCCCGUUCCCUGGCCUAUAAAUUCAGAUAUAUUUCAAAAACCCUGGAGGGCAUACGGAAACACUUUUUCUGUCGUGGCAAGUGUCUGUUCGGCCGCGACCCCAUCUAGAGCUCCGUUUCGAAGUCCGCAGAGGGGGGGUCGAUCACAUAGGGCCUCUUCAUCAAACCUUGUUGCCCUAAUGGGGAUAUGUGAGUAGUUCACCAGAGACCUACGAGUCCAUAGUUAGUGUCUGGAUGACAAUCUCUCUCUCUUGAUCUUCAAUAAAAUGAUCAUCACAUCUUUGUUUUGAUCUAUACAAUGUAAUUCUUCUGUGCGGUGCGUUCAUUGGGAUUCUAUGAAUUGGAGUCUUCUAUGAAUUUUAUUUAUGAUUCUUAUUUGCAUGAUCA
rnacentral:lncRNA from 1 species